GUCUACAAAUCAUUUACUAUA
ensembl:piRNA 21ur-5039 ncRNA